GAGAAAAAAAUUUAUUCUUACUCCCAAGCUAUCCCAGACUGAUGCAUUUGUCUAAUUUUUCAUGUCGUUGUAUAACUUCUCCAGUAAUCAUUUUCUUUCUUACUCAGGUACAUUUAAAAACUGUGGUCUCUAACCAGAAUUCUUCACAUAUGGGUGAAAGUGUGUCUCUGCUUAUUCUGUUAUCCAUGUCGACAGCGGAGAAUUUUCAUUGUAGGUCUCCAAGCAAGAAUUUCAAAGUGGAUCCCUUGACCUUACUUAAUUAUAAAAUAAGUACAUCUCUUCUUUUAAGUGCCUUCUUGACAAGCAGGGAUUGUGCAGGAGGAAACCACACCCCUGAGAGCCACUGCUGCGUCUCUGGGAAGUCUCCACUUGUGUGAAGAACGUUAUUACUCUGCCCUCCAAGAUAAUUCUCUCCAGAAUGAAUAAACUCAAUUCCUUUCAUCUUUCCUCUUGGGCUUUCUUUUCCAUGCCUUUGUCAUUUUCUCUUUUAUGCCGCGUUCAGAAAUAAAAGGAGCGUAAUAGCAAUCUCUACCUGAACAAGCCUGGCCACAUUUUGUCUUUCUUGAAGAGCAGAGGAAUUUGCUUCACUUUGCCGUUCCUCACUUGUAUCUGUUUGGACUGGUUACCUUAGUUUGUUCAAGCAGGUCCUUCAGGUUAUACCCCUGGACUUCCUCUGCUUCACCACCAUUUCUUUCCAAGUAGAUCUGGAUAUUAGUCAGUUUUAACUUAAUCCAUCCUUUGAAUCAUUCCUUCUGUUCAUCCUCUUGCCUCUGGCUCCAGGCAAAAGUCUCGUGGCUUGAACUUAAGCAGAUCUAUAUUUCCUCUAUCAUUUAAAUGAGGUUACACAGGAUAUCAUUUGAAAACUAGGUUUUAUACCUAAAAAGGAGAUCUUGAUUGUGAUACUCAUGUGUAGACUUUCAGGAUCCUCUCACCAGACAGUUAUACAUGAAGACCACACUUUACUAUUUCCUAAGCACUUUCACAUAUACUCUUUCAUACGAUCCUUUCAAAAACCAGUUAUCACUGAUACAGGAGCAGGACAGGAAGUGCUGGGUAGAGAAAAGUGGGGUCCCUGGUGACGGCUCCAUGCUUGGGCCUGUGCCCAUGGACCCAAGUGGCUGGAUGUCAAGAGGAACACACCCACAGAAGAACACACAGGCAGACAGACACCAGCAGACUCUGGCAGGCCAUCCACGGAUGUGGAGUUUGGCCAAGGGCAGUGGGAGCCCGGUCUGAGUGACCUGACUCCAGGG
rnacentral:lncRNA from 1 species